UAGGGAAUCUUCGGCAAUGGGGGGAACCCUGACCGAGCAACGCCGCGUGAGUGAAGAAGGUUUUCGGAUCGUAAAGCUCUGUUGUUAAGGAAGAACGAGUGUGAGAAUGGAAAGUUCAUGCUGUGACGGUACUUAACCAGAAAGGGACGGCUAACUACGUGCCAGCAGCCGCGGUAAUACGUAGGUCCCGAGCGUUGUCCGGAUUUAUUGGGCGUAAAGCGAGCGCAGGCGGUUAGAAAAGUCUGAAGUGAAAGGCAGUGGCUCAACCAUUGUAGGCUUUGGAAACUGUUUAACUUGAGUGCAGAAGGGGAGGGUGGAAUUCCAUGUGUAGCGGUGAAAUGCGUAGAUAUAUGGAGGAACACCGGUGGCGAAAGCGGCUCUCUGGUCUGUAACUGACGCUGAGGAUCGAAAGCGUGGGGAGCGAACAGG
rnacentral:rRNA from 1 species